rnacentral:rRNA from 1 species
AUUGAACGCUGGCGGCAGGCCUAACACAUGCAAGUCGAGCGAGCGGCGGACGGGUGAGUAAUGUAUGGGAAACUGCCCGAUAGAGGGGGAUAACUACUGGAAACGGUAGCUAAUACCGCAUACUAUCGGAUGAACCCAUAUGGGAUUAGCUAGUAGGUGGGGUAAAGGCUCACCUAGGCGACGAUCCCUAGCUGGUCUGAGAGGAUGAUCAGCCACACUGGAACUGAGACACGGUCCAGACUCCUACGGGAGGCAGCAGUGGGGAAUAUUGCACAAUGGGCGCAAGCCUGAUACAGCCAUGCCGCGUGUAUGAAGAAGGCCUUCGGGUUGUAAAGUACUUUCAGCCGGGAGGCGUUACCCGCAGAAGAAGCACCGGCUAACUCCGUGCCAGCAGCCGCGGUAAUUC